GGCUUCAGUACGACCUAGUCAGAACUAUAAGUUUCAAAGCCCCGACGAGUAGGGUGGCGUGCCGGUGCGCGUUGAAGGCCAAGACGUGAGUCAGGCUGGAGCCGCCGGUAGUGCAGAUCUUGGUGGUAGUAGCAAGUACUCUGGUGAACCAACCUGGAGCUGUGAGGUCUGGAUUAGGGUUCCAUGUCAACAGUGAUUGAACAUGGGUGAGUCGAACCUAAGCCAACUGUGAAAGCAGUGACAUCCCGACAAAGGGGCGGUACAUGCGCGGCUCUUACACCCCCAUAUAUCUCUCUCUCUGUGAUCGCUACGGAGUGUGAGUGUGUGCGCUUGUCUGGUUACGCUCAUAAGCGUUGUUGAUCUAUGGCAAAAGGAUAUGGCAAAACAAAUAAGAGAGAGAGAGGGUGAGCGUGAGAUUGCUCUUGCAUGAGCCUUCUGCGUCUGGUUCUAUGUCUGGCGAAAGGGAAUGGGGACUUUGUUCCUUGACCGGUCCCGGCACCCUCGAUUGGCUCUGCCAGUCAAUGGUCCAUGCAAAUGGAACCAGGCCACAGCCGCCGGCAGUCGCCCGAGGAAGAGUUUUCUUUUCUGCUUAACGCACGAGGUCAUCCCUGGAAACAGUUCGGCUGGCGAAAGGGUGCCCCGUUGCGGCAGAGCGCCACGACUGUCGUGCGCGUCUCGGUGUUCCUGCCGGUCCGUGAAAACGUGGUCGAGGGGAAUGCUCUUGUAUCAACGAAACGUCCGACAAGUUCGGGACGGACCGUACCCUAUAUCCGCAUCUGGUCUCCAAGGUUCGUAGCCUCUGCAGAGUCAGACACAUGUAGGUAAGGGAAGUCGGCAAACUCGAUCCGUAACUUCGGGAAAAGGAUUGGCUCUGAGGGCCGAGCUGGGCCGGGCCUUGCCUGCAAAGCAGUACCUAUAGUGACCGGAGUUUCAGGAGUGCGAGGGGCUCUAGUAGCUGCUUGUGCGUGUGUGCGUUCGCGCGUGCGCGCGUGUGGGCACGAACGAGUCCACCGCUCCGCUCCAACCACGAACGGCUGUGACGGCAAGGGCUCUGGGCGGGAGCAAUCAAACCGUUGGCCUCCAGCGCGUCUGGCUGGCGGCGGUGCUCCGUCUGACCCAUACGGCUCCAGCGGCUAGCGGCUAACUCAGAACUGUCAUGGACCAAGGGAAUCCGACUGUCUAAUUAAAACAAAGCGUCGUGACGGCCCCUGUUGGGUGUUGACGCGACGUG
rnacentral:rRNA from 1 species